rnacentral:rRNA from 1 species
CGAACGCUGGCGGCGUGCUUAACACAUGCAAGUCGAGGGGUAGCAAUAUCCCUGGCGCACGGGUGAGUAACGCGUAGAUUAUCUGCCCCAUACACAGACAUAACACUUCGAAAGGAAUGAUAAUAUCUGAUGAGGUGCUUCGGCAUCAAAGUAGCAAUACGGUAUGGGACGAGUCUGCGUCUGAUUAGCUAGCUGGUGAGGUAAUGGCUCACCAAGGCGACGAUCAGUAGCUGGUCUGAGAGGACGAUCAGCCACACUGGAACUGGGACACGGUCCAGACUCCUACGGGAGGCAGCAGUGAGGAAUUUUGCACAAUGGGGGAAACCCUGAUGCAGCAACGCCGCGUGUAGGAUGAAGGGGCUAUGCCUUGUAAACUACUGUCGGACAGGAAAAAAAGUUCCCUUUGGGGACUGGGAUUGUACUGUCAAAGGAAGGGUCGGCUAACUACGUGCCAGCAGCCGCGGUAAUACGUAGGACCCAAGCGUUGUCCGGAAUUACUGGGUGUAAAGGGUGCGUAGGCGGGCUUGCGCGUCGAAGGUUAAAGACCACAGCUUAACUGCGGAAGUGCCUUCGAUACGGUGAGUCUUGAAUAUGAGAGAGGUAAGUAGAAUUCCUGGUGUAGCGGUGAAAUGCGUAGAUAUCAGGAGGAAUACCAGUGGCGAAGGCGGCUUACUGGCUCAUUAUUGACGCUGAGGCACGAAAGCGUGGGGAUC